rnacentral:rRNA from 1 species
UGGGGAAUUUUGGACAAUGGGGGAAACCCUGAUCCAGCCAUCCCGCGUGUGCGAUGAAGGCCUUCGGGUUGUAAAGCACUUUUGGCAGGAAAGAAACGUCGCGGGUUAAUACCCCGCGGAACUGACGGUACCUGCAGAAUAAGCACCGGCUAACUACGUGCCAGCAGCCGCGGUAAUGCGUAGGGUGCAAGCGUUAAUCGGAAUUACUGGGCGUAAAGCGUGCGCAGGCGGUUCGGAAAGAAAGAUGUGAAAUCCCAGAGCUUAACUUUGGAACUGCAUUUUUAACUACCGGGCUAGAGUGUGUCAGAGGGAGGUGGAAUUCCGCGUGUAGCAGUGAAAUGCGUAGAUAUGCGGAGGAACACCGAUGGCGAAGGCAGCCUCCUGGGAUAACACUGACGCUCAUGCACGAAAGCGUGGGGAGCAAACAGGAUUAGAUACCCUGGUAGUCCACGCCCUAAACGAUGUCAACUAGCUGUUGGGGUCUUCGGACCUUGGUAGCGCAGCUAACGCGUGAAGUUGACCGCCUGGGGAGUACGGUCGCAAGAUUAAAACUUAAAUGAAUUGAACGAGGUCAUAGCUGUUUCCU